GGCAAGAAUCCUGAAGUGGGUUGCUGUGCCCUUCUCCAGGGGAUCUUCCUAACCCAGGGAUCGAACCCAGUUCUCUUGCAUGUCUUGCAUUGGCAGGUUUACUACUUUACUUUACUACUAACGCCACCUGGGAAGCCCAGGAGAAAGCUCACCAUGCUCAAAAAACAUCAAGGAACUGGUGGGGCCGGAGCCCAAUGAGUUUGAUGUCAAUCAUAGGAAAGGAGGUCAAAGAGAAAAUAGGAAGCCAGUGGUCUGGGAGGCGAGCAUGGCAGCUUCCUGUUUCCCAGGCUGUGCCUGGCUCAAGCUCCUUUCUCCCAGCACUUGUUCUGCUAGUGUUUUACCAGAUUUUUCUAGGUGAUCAGCUAAAGAUCAUUACUGGUUCUCUUAACCCUGCCUGGGCUGCUUUCAUCCUUUUCUUUUUCUAUCUUCUUAGCCAAUUAAAAAACUAUUUUUAAAAAUAGUUCUCAUUCUCUUAUUUCUCAUCAUCCUCCUAUUGGCCAACUCCUGUCUUAUUUAUUGCAAUCUGCAUCUUGUAUUCUCCCUCACCCAGCUCCACUCAUGCUAUCAUUUAGUAUGCUUCUCUAGCCAGUUACCCCUCAUCAUCCCCCCACCCCAGGCCCCAGAGACGUGUAAGGACGCAGGGCUGACCAAGUCCAUCAGGGUGUCCAACUUUAACCACAAGCAGCUGGAGAAGAUCCUGAAUAAGCCGGGGCUCAAGUAUAAGCCCGUCUGCAACCAGGAUCCGGUACUCAAUGCCAUUGCUGAAAACACCGGCGAACUCCAGCCCAGGUAGCCCUGCGCUACCAGCUGCAGCGGGGUGUGGUGGCUCUGGCCAAGAGCUUCAGUGAGAAGAGGAUCAAGGAGAACUUCCAGGUUUUUGAAUUCCAGUUGACCCCAGAGGACAUGGAAUGUCUGGAUGGCCUAAAUAGAAACAUACGCUAUUUUGACCAUGGCGAGGAAGCGGAUGGAAAACCUCUCUUUACUUCAAGCCCUCAUACCCUUGUUGCUCCACGCCCCUCAGUCCGUAUUCUUCCUGAAUUCCAGAAUCGAUCAACACGUUGACAUCCUUUGCACGUACUUUCAGGUCUCCUCGCUCUUCUUUGUCUUACUCCUUGGUCUAAAACCUGGCUUUUGUGAAGUAUUUUAUUAUGUCAGAUAUGUGAUUUUUACUGGAAUAAAAUUAAAGCAUUUAAAUUUGAAUGGCAGAGAUAAAGGAGAAGAAACUGGACCAACUUUUGUAUAGAUAAUAUUUUUCUAGUGGAAAUAAAAUAGCAUGCAGAUUUUCAAAAAAAAUAAAAAUAAAAAAUAAAACCUGGCUACAUCCUGCUGUCUGCCUGCG
rnacentral:lncRNA from 1 species